CCAAGAGCCUAGGAAGCUAGAUACCUAUAUCCUCUAUCUUUCAGUAUUCUAAUUAUAUACAAGAAACAGCAAGCUGGUAGUCAUGCAGACUUUGAUUGUUGUCAUUUUUGCCUCUCUGUUUUUCAUUGGAACUAUUCAUGAAGCCCAUGCACAAAUGCUCCCUGUAGCAAGUCGUCGGUUUCUUAGUGAAGUUGAUCCUCAUCGAGCUGUUCCUGAUGGUCCGAAUAGAUGUACUAGUUGUCAUCAUUAUCAUACAUAUGGUCAAAAGGCUCCUCCUCGUGAUUUGGAUCUUUCCGAAUCUUAUGGCCCGCCACGUUCCUAAAGGCGAUAGCCUCUACAACUGUUGCUGUCAUGUGUGAUAAGGAUGUGUUUGAUUGGAAAUAAUGUGGAACUAACAUGUAUAGUGGCCAAAAGAGUAGUAAUUUAUGGUCAUGGAAGUUUCACAGAGUUUGAAGUAGGAUGAGUCUGUAAUAAUAAGGUUUCUUGUUUGUGUGUAACAGCAAAAUCUAGUGUGUUAAUUUACGUUAAUUGUUGAGGCCAUGAAAGUUUCAGAAAGUUUAUUACAUGUACAUGUUCGGUUCAACCAAUAAGUUCACAAGCUGAGAUGUGGGAAGAAUUAAUAUAUAUAAAGUUUGAUUGAUUUA